rnacentral:rRNA from 1 species
UGCGUAGGGUGCGAGCGUUGUCCGGAAUUACUGGGCGUAAAGAGCUCGUAGGCGGUCUGUCGCGUCGGUCGUGAAAACUUGGGGCUUAACCCUGAGCUUGCGGUCGAUACGGGCAUGACUGGAGUUCGGCAGGGGAGACUGGAAUUCCUGGUGUAGCGGUGAAAUGCGCAGAUAUCAGGAGGAACACCGGUGGCGAAGGCGGGUCUCUGGGCCGAUACUGACGCUGAGGAGCGAAAGCGUGGGGAGCGAACAGG